AGCCUACUUUUUUAAAAAAAUUAAGUAUUUUAGUUUCUGAGUUUUUUAUUUUUUUUUAUCGUUUCAUCAACAAUUGAUAAUGCCCGUGAUGAGCUAUCUUGGUCAUUAGAACCCCCUCGUGACUUUCAAAUAAAUAUUGCCAAUCAUAUAUUAAAGUUUAGUACAUUAGAUGCAAAACUUACUAAAUUUUUUAGAUACUUUCGCUAAAAUUUGCUAAAUGAUUCAUCUAAAAUUUUAAAAACCAAAAAUUAAAAUACUAAUUUUAUCAAAAAAAAAGUAUCAUUGGCCUUUAAUUAAUGACUUUAAAAAUAUUUAUAAUUUUAUACAUACAACUAAAAAAUUUGUACAAUUUUUUAAAUAUAUAUCAGAUUAUUUGUAAACUUACAUUUGUAAUUCUCUUUUUUAUUUUAAAUUUUAAAUUUUUAAUUUAUUUUUUAUUAAAAAAUUAAGUAAUUAACAAAAAACUAAAACACAAACAUAAUAUAAAAAACUGAUAAAAAAAUAAUUAGAUUAAAAAAGUAAAUAAAAAUAAUUAAAAGAAAAACUAAAAAAAAUCGCGGGGGUUGCCUCAAGAUAAUGACCAAGAUAAAUUAGAUAAUGCCCAAGAUUAGCCCAUCACUUGGGCAUUAAUCAAAUUGUUGAAAUGAAACGAUAAAAAAAAUAGAAAAAACUCAGAAACUAAAUACUAAAGUUGGUUUAAAAAAGUAGGCCGCAUGCGUUUUAUUAAUGAGUUUUUUAAGACAUUUAUUAUAAUUUCUACAAACAACUAAAAAGUUUGUACAAUUUUUUAAAUAAUAAUGAUCAGAUUAUUUGUAAACUUAAAUUUGUGUUCUCUUUUUUAUAUUUUUAUAUUUUUAUUUAUUUUUUAUUAAAAAUAAUUAAAAACAAUUUUAAAAAAAACACAAACCUUAAUUAAAAAUAUUUAUCCAAAAAAUAAAUUAGAUUAAAAAAGUAAUAAAAAUAUUAAAAGAAAAACUAACAAAAUUAAAAAAAAUCGGCGGGGUGGGGUGGAGUGGGGUGUGAGUGGGGGUGAGGAGGCUGGGGUUCAUGGGCUACAUGGUCAUUUUUGCUCUUACAGGGGAGGUUCAGUGCCAUUUUUAAAUUAUAGGGGAGGUCAAUGCAAUUAUGAAAACCUCAUGAGGGGUAUGAAUGGAAUUAUCCCAAAAAACAAUAGGUAAGUUUUUUUUAAAAUGAAAAUUGAUCUCUACCAUAACAUGAAAUUCAUAAAAAUCAUUGCUUUCACUUUAUGUGUGUGUGUAUGUGAUGAUUUGAUGCUUGAUAUAAUAAUUAAAAAAAUAAAAGAGGAAGAGUGUCAAAGGAAGAAAAUUAAAUUGAGAAGUUGAGUAAUAAUGGAGCAAAGAUACAUGGCAUUUUUUUAUAAUUCUAAAAAACGCACUUGGUAUUCUCCUAGAUUAUUUUACUCGGGCUUCUGCUUUAUGUAUAGGCUCCGUUUGGAACUAGUUUUUUUUUGUUUUUCGGCUGGCUUUUUUAAAGCAAAUGGGCAAAAAAAUAAUCAAAAUUGGCUUUUUUGCUUUUUUAUUUUUUACUUUUUUUUAGUUAAAGUAAAAUCAGAAAAGUAAAAAAAUAAAAAAUCUUAGUUUUUUUUUGUUAACAAGCUUAAAAAAAAACUUAACUUUUAAGCAUUACUAAACAGAGCCAUACUAUAUAUGAUGAUAAAACAACAUUCAUUUUGAUGAAACCUAAUUUUUUGUGCGGCAAACAGACUUUUACAUGCCCAAACUAUCCUUGUUUUAAAUAAAAAAUUACCGUUACCCUUUUAAAUAACGGCUUUCACCCGCCAUUAUUCUGAUAACUACUUAUUUUAUGAGAACUACCCCAACUUUUUUCUCAGGGAGAAUCUCCACCUCUUCUUAGAAAAAACCUCAAUUCAACAAUUUCCACACAUCCUUCUCUUUGGGGACCUAGCAACUUUAUACAAAAUACAAUUUAGACAGAGACAAUGUGCUUCGUCACGGUUCACGGCCGUGUGAACUCCAAAAGAUCAAUCUCUCUUUCUCGUGAAAAGAUUAUGAACGAAGGUAUUGUUACUAAAAAAAUUACAGUGAAUCUAACGAUAUAUAUAUAUAUAUAUAUAUAUUAGUGGGAAUGCACACGAUGUGUGCAAUAACCUACCGCACAUACUAUGAAACAGUUACCCGCAUUUAUGUUUGAAUCAUCUUCAAAUUUGUCUACAACAAAUAGAUUGUUGGCUAUUAAACUAAUCCCUCAACAUUAAACAUUUGGUUCAUUUCAAUUUUCAAUCAUGUCUCCCACAUGGAAGGAUUUUGGGACCCCAUCUAAUUUCAAGUGGGACUAGCCUAUAAUUUGUGCAUUUGGGACGAAAUUUGGAACUGCUAUAUUAUAUUUUCCUAGAGAAGUGUAUUGGGGCCCAUACUAUUGGUUUUGGUAUGGUGGGCUUAUGUAGUUGUCUUAACUUGGGGCCCAUGGCUUGGGCUUUAGGUAGACAAAGUAUGUAUCAAUUUACUAGGACCCGAUCUGU
rnacentral:lncRNA from 1 species